GCAGACGUGGCCGAGUGGCUAAGGCGGUGGACUAGGAAUCCAUUGGGGUCUACCCGCACAGGUUCGAAUCCUGUCGACCGCG
rfam:Ixodes scapularis strain Wikel colony gcontig_1108378790668, whole genome shotgun sequence.